GCAUUGAUGGUCUAACGGUUAGGAUUCAACCCUUCCAUCUUCAUCUCGAGGCAGGUUGAGGCCGGGGUUCGACUCCCCGUCAAUGCA
rnacentral:tRNA from 1 species